UUUUUUUUUUUUUAAACUGGUCAGAUGACGUUGACGGUAGGCGUAGCACAUGCAAGUCGCACGGCAGCACAGGAGAGCUUGCUCCUCGGGUGGUGAGUGGCGGACGGGUGAGGAAUACAUCGGAAUCUACUCUGUCGUGGGGGAUAACGUAGGGAAACUACGCUAAUACCGCAUACGACCUACGGGGGAAAGCAGGGGACCUUCGGGCCUUGCGCGAUUGAAUGAGCCGAUGUUGGAUUAGCUAGUUGGCGGGGUAAAGGCCCACCAAGGGGACGAUCCGUAGCUGGUUUGAGAGGAUGAUCAGCCACACUGGAACUGAGACACGGUCCAGAAUUCUUCGGGAGGCAGCCGUGGGGAAUAUUGGACAAUGGGGGCAAGCCUGAUCCAGCCCUUCCGGGUGGGUGAAGAAGGCUUUUGGGUUGUAAAGCCCUUUUGUUGGGAAAGAAAUCCCGGUGGGUAAUACCCGGUUGGGAUGACGGUACCCAAAGAAUAAGCCCCGGGUAAAUUUGUGCCCGCCGCCGCGGUAAUUCGAAGGGUGCCAGCGUUACUUGGAAUUACUGGGGGUAAAGCGUGGGUAGGUGGUUUUUUAAGUCCGUUGUGAAAGUCCCGGGCUCAACCUGGGAACUGCAGUGGAUACUGGGCGACUAGAAUGUGGUAGAGGGUAGCGGAAUUCUUGGUGUAGCAGUGAAAUGGGUAGAGAUCAGGAGGAACAUCCAUGGGGAAGGCAGCUCCCUGGACCAACAAUGACCAUGAGGCAGGAAAGGGUGGGGAGCAAACCGGAUUAGAUACCCUGGUAGUUCCCGCCCUAAACGAUGCGAACUGGAUGUUGGGUGCAAUUGGCUCGCAGUAUCGAAGCUAACGCGAUAAGUCCGCCGCCUGGAGACGCCAGGG
rnacentral:rRNA from 1 species